rnacentral:ncRNA from 2 species
ACAAGUAGUGUGAACGAAAGAUGAAAAGAACUCUAAAACAGAGGGUGAAAAGUUCCUGAACUUGCUUAGGGUUAAGGCUAUUUAUAGUACCCGGUCUUGAAACACGGAUUAGGGAGUUUAUCUGUAGUGCGAGUCUUUGCACGUUAACUGUAAAGGCGUAGAGAAAGCAACUGGCGUUUGCAUGGCUACUGAGCAUUACUGAUAGGACCCGAAAGGUGGUGAACUUUGCCUGCACAGGUUGAAGUCAGGGGAAACUCUGAUGGAGGACCGUACGGGUUAUUGAUGUGCAAAUCAUUUUUCUGAUGUAGGUAAAGGUGCGAAAGACUCAUCGAACCACCUAAUAGCUGGUUUCCUCCGAAGUUUCCCUCAGGAUAGCUGUAAUGCAUUUAGUUAAGGGGAGUAGAGAUAUGGGUAGAGGUGCAGGGAGCCUUCGGGUUCUCAACUUAUUUCCAAACUUCGAACCUCCUUGUUAGGCAUUUACCUAACUGGAAAUGCUUAAAUGAAUUAGCGUUACAAGUGGGCUCUGACCGGUAAGCGGUCAUGGCGAAAUGGGAUGAACCAUACGUCUGAAUAAGGUGCCGAAAUGUACUAUCACUGAUACCAUAAAGGGAGUCCAUGUAUUUAGACAGCAGGUCGGUGCCCCUAAAAGCAGGUAUCCGCUAAAGAGUGUGUUAAAACUCACCUGCCGAAUACUAGGGCCCCGAAAAUGAAUGGCGCAUAUAGUACUACCGAUCUCAGACAUCAGUUCUAUUGAACUGAGAGUAGGGGGAUGUGGACAUUUUUGUGAAGGUGCAAUGUGAGUUGGACUGGAAGAAUGUCUAUUACAGAUCCUAAUUGAAGUAGCGAUUAUCCAGGCUUGUAUCCUGGGGGCUGAUGAGGAGUAGGGUUUCUGGACAACUUAAACAGAUCCAGAGUUAGUCGAUCCUAAUCUCAAUAAUGGGAGAAAGGGAGUACAGUUGAUAUUCUGUAACUGACAACAGUUCGCGGCAACGCAUACUAUUUUUCUCCGCCAAAUCUAUACCGUUGGUA